AGGUAAUCCAACAAGAACCAGCCACGCACCACGCGUACCGCGACCUUUACCACCAACGCCUCCUCACAACUGAAGAUGGCGAAAAUCCCCAGCUCCGCCGCUGGCGCGGCCACCGUUUCGUCUCUGUCGGAAGAAACAUCAUCUGUUUCGACAGAAACAAUAAUCUCCAAUGACUUGCCUCCAGGUUCUGCGGAGGAGAUCAUGGAGCUUUUCGACCACAGCGGGGUCUCUAGCUUUCUCCCUGAAAACUACAAUUGCAAAAACUUCUUUUCUGAUCUCAUUCGCCCUCUCCUCAAGGCUGACCUUGUCCAACGGGGCCGCGUUACCUGCAUCUUUUCUGUCCUACCUGCCGUUACUGUAAUCUACUUUUCCCCCAUAACUCUGUUUCUAUUGUUUCUUUCCUCUGUAUUCUUGCCAACCAAACGGGAAAUUUUGAUGCUUUGUUUCCCCUUCGUGGGUUUUUAGAAUUAUUUUAAAGGACUUCACGGUGGGGCUGUGGCAGCUAUAGCUGAGAGAGUGGCGAUUGCUUGUGCUAGAACUGUCUUGGCAGAAGAUAAACAUCUCUUCCUUGGUGAACUGAGCAUAUCUUAUCUCUCUGCCGCACUACAAAAUGAAGUUUUGUUAGUUGAUGGGUCUAUAGUGAGGAGCGGAAGAAAUUUAUCUGUAGUUGCCAUGGAGUUCAAAAUCAAGAAAACUAGGAAGCUGGUCUACACUGCCCGUGCUACUUUCUAUCACAUGCCUGUUGCCAAGCUAUGAAUUUACUGUGGCAUAUCAUCUGGUUCGUAAUUACAUCCUGUGGCUGUUUUGCCUAUAAUAAAUGCACGAUCUUUUUCAUUACUUCAGUAAAGAUAAAUUACUUAUUGCGAUAUCUUGCUGAUUCGUGCUCGUUUAACCCCAAGAAAUGACGCUAUAUUCUUUUCAAACUUUUAAUUCAGAAUGCUGAAGAGUAUUUCUCACUGGAAGGUUGACUGCUGGAAAAGGGUUAUAAACUUUUAAUUCUUGCCAAGCUAAGAAAAUUCAUGUUUCAUCUAUCACUUUAGAACUUUUUUUUUCAUAGAAAUAUCAAUGAUGGUCAUUUCAUUUAUUACUGGUAGAUCACUUUCUUGUACAGUGUAUGGGGAAAAAAAAAAACUGAUCCUAUAUACGAGGAGAUAAAUUAUCAAUUGCCUUAUGAUUGUGAUUUUAGAGGUUCUCCCAAAUGUUUGCUGUAGAUAAUUCCACCAUUCAUGCUCUCAUUCCUGAUGAACUGUUUAUUUUGUAAUCCUUGGGGAAGGAGGAAAGGAAAAAAUAAAACUUCUGCAACCAUGGGAUGGAGCCUCUUGUGAUGCAAACUUACUACAUUAUCAUGUGUCCACUUCAAAGCUCAACACCUAGUAUUGUUGCAUUCUAGUUUUCCGUAAUGUUGUUUAUGUAGGCUCUUGAUUUUGUCAACAGUCUGCUGGAUUGGUCACAAUAUUCCAUCUUUAUCUCAAUAUUUGAUAGAAAACUCAUGGAUCAUUACGUAGGUUCGAAUGAUAAGGCAAUUGUUUACUAGCAUUUUUAGGCAUGUUUCAUUUGUCCAAAUUAUUAAGCAUGGGCUAACUGGCUAAGCUGUAAAGACAUGCCCUUGCCCAUUGGGAUGGUACUUAGUGGUCAAGAAGUUAGAUUGGGUUAGGGAUGGAUAUUACAUAUUAGGUCUGAAUGUUGCUGUUGAAAAAAGAAAAACCAAAAACAGAAUAGAAGAGCUGCUAUAGACAAAACUGAAGUUAGAGUUCCUUCUAUUCAGUUUACAAGAAAUAGUCAUGCUUCAGAACUUACACUUGAUUGCAUCUUAUAUUUUCUUGAUUUCUGUGUCACCAUUAUCAGUUUGUUUGGAAUUGUUCUUUCUUACAUGGAGAGUUGGCCCUGAAGAGAAAAUUAACUGUCAUUUCUUUGCAUUGUUCAACUUCAGAUUCAAGAAGACUGAAAUAUUUCACUCAACCAGAUAUGGCUGCAAAUUUGUGAAGUAUUUUUGGGGAAUAAUUCAAUUAUGAAAAAUCAUUUUGUUAUUCAGAGAUGUCAUUUUUUCAGCAACUUUCACACAAAUAAAAACCAAUCUAUGUUAGCAUAUUCUUGUCACUCGAUACUUGUGUACUAAGUGUUAUCUCUUCGUUAUCUGUGUCAUGUGCUGGAUAUUGCAUACUCGAAAGAGCAAGUCCCUGGCCUAGCAAAAUUUUGCUUGUAAUUUGACCAAAUUGUCUUCCCAGAGUUAUAUUGGGUUCACAGAUUCAGAUUCUUGAGCAACCUGUCCUUGAAACUUUAAAUUAUAUUUUUGUAUGUUACCGAUCAAGGAAUUUGAUAAUUUACUCUCCUUGCAUUUGAGUAUUUUAAUUUUACAUAACACUAAAAUUUUAUAAUUAUUCAAUUAAAAUAUAAAUAUAAAUAUAAUAAAUAUGUUUUAUGAAUCAAAAAAACAAAAGGAAGUCUCUAGCCGUUAGUGAGAUGGUGGAAAGGAGUGGACGUUGGAGGUGAAGGAAAAGACAAGAGAAAAGAAGUGAAAAGUAUUGAUGAUAGAAAAAUUGAACACAGCGAGUCUCAAGCUGACCUCCUCAGCUUCAUUUGACCACCAGAGAAGCCUUCCGAAGCCUCAGUUUCAGCUGAAAAUGCUAGAAAGGCAGAUCAGAAAACAUGGCUGUGGUGAUGGCAAUGAUGACAGCCAAAGACGCUCCUGUCAUCAUAGACAGUUUCAGAUAGGAGGGUGACAUCCACUGGUGAUUGUGCUUCAUCUAUUUCCUCAUAUUUGCAUUUUUACCCUUUUUUAUUAAUUUCUUGCUUUUUUUAUGUUUUGAAAAAAUCGAUUUAAUUGAUUGAAAUUGGUGUUGGUUAUCAAAGAUGAGGAAGUAGUGAAAACAGAUUCUGAAGGCAACAAAUUGAUGAGGAAGGCAAAGGUGUGGAUUUUUCCACUUCGUUUUUCAGCAUCAAUGGUUUCACUUUGCAGAAUUACUAUAAUGGGAUGCAUGGAGGGGCCGUUGCAGCUAUAGCUCAGAGAGUAGCCAUUGCGUGUGCUAGAACUGUUUUAGCUGAGGAUAACGAAAUCUCUCUUGGUGAAUUGAGCAUCUGUUAUCUCUCAGCCGCACCCCAAAAUGAGGUAGUGGUAGUUGAUGGUUCUGUAGUGAAGAGUGGCAGGAACUUAACU
rnacentral:misc_RNA from 1 species